GACGAACGCUGGCGGCGUGCUUAACACAUGCAAGUCGAACGGAAAGGCCCUGCUUUUGUGGGGUGCUCGAGUGGCGAACGGGUGAGUAACACGUGAGUAACCUGCCCUUGACUUUGGGAUAACUUCAGGAAACUGGGGCUAAUACCGGAUAGGAGCUCCUGCUGCAUGGUGGGGGUUGGAAAGUUUCGGCGGUUGGGGAUGGACUCGCGGCUUAUCAGCUUGUUGGUGGGGUAGUGGCUUACCAAGGCUUUGGCGGGUAGCCGGCCUGAGAGGGUGACCGGGCACAUUGGGACUGAGAUACGGACCAGACUCCUACGGGAGGCAGCAGUGGGGAAUAUUGCACAAUGGGCGGAAGCCUGAUGCAGCAACGCCGCGUGCGGGAUGACGGCCUUCGGGUUGUAAACCGCUUUCGCCUGUGACGAAGCGGGAGUGACGGUAAUGGGUAAAGAAGCACCGGCUAACUACGUG
rnacentral:rRNA from 1 species